rnacentral:rRNA from 1 species
GGGACACGUGGUAUCCUGUCUGAAUAUGGGGGGACCAUCCUCCAAGGCUAAAUACUCCUGACUGACCGAUAGUGAACCAGUACCGUGAGGGAAAGGCGAAAAGAACCCCGGCGAGGGGAGUGAAAAAGAACCUGAAACCGUGUACGUACAAGCAGUGGGAGCACGCUUAGGCGUGUGACUGCGUACCUUUUGUAUAAUGGGUCAGCGACUUAUAUUCUGUAGCAAGGUUAACCGAAUAGGGGAGCCGAAGGGAAACCGAGUCUUAACUGGGCGUUAAGUUGCAGGGUAUAGACCCGAAACCCGGUGAUCUAGCCAUGGGCAGGUUGAAGGUUGGGUAACACUAACUGGAGGACCGAACCGACUAAUGUUGAAAAAUUAGCGGAUGACUUGUGGCUGGGGGUGAAAGGCCAAUCAAACCGGGAGAUAGCUGGUUCUCCCCGAAAGCUAUUUAGGUAGCGCCUCGUGAAUUCAUCUCCGGGGGUAGAGCACUGUUUCGGCAAGGGGGUCAUCCCGACUUACCAACCCGAUGCAAACUGCGAAUACCGGAGAAUGUUAUCACGGGAGACACACGGCGGGUGCUAACGUCCGUCGUGAAGAGGGAAACAACCCAGACCGCCAGCUAAGGUCCCAAAGUCAUGGUUAAGUGGGAAACGAUGUGGGAAGGCCCAGACAGCCAGGAUGUUGGCUUAGAAGCAGCCAUCAUUUAAAGAAAGCGUAAUAGCUCACUGGUCGAGUCGGCCUGCGCGGAAGAUGUAACGGGGCUAAACCAUGCACCGAAGCUGCGGCAGCGACACUAUGUGUUGUUGGGUAGGGGAGCGUUCUGUAAGCCUGUGAAGGUGUACUGUGAGGUAUGCUGGAGGUAUCAGAAGUGCGAAUGCUGACAUAAGUAACGAUAAAGCGGGUGAAAAGCCCGCUCGCCGGAAGACCAAGGGUUCCUGUCCAACGUUAAUCGGGGCAGGGUGAGUCGACCCCUAAGGCGAGGCCGAAAGGCGUAGUCGAUGGGAAACAGGUUAAUAUUCCUGUACUUGGUGUUACUGCGAAGGGGGGACGGAGAAGGCUAUGUUGGCCGGGCGACGGUUGUCCCGGUUUAAGCGUGUAGGCUGGUUUUCCAGGCAAAUCCGGAAAAUCAAGGCUGAGGCGUGAUGACGAGGCACUACGGUGCUGAAGCAACAAAUGCCCUGCUUCCAGGAAAAGCCUCUAAGCAUCAGGUAACAUCAAAUCGUACCCCAAACCGACACAGGUGGUCAGGUAGAGAAUACCAAGGCGCUUGAGAGAACUCGGGUGAAGGAACUAGGCAAAAUGGUGCCGUAACUUCGGGAGAAGGCACGCUGAUAUGUAGGUGAAGUCCCUCGCGGAUGGAGCUGAAAUCAGUCGAAGAUACCAGCUGGCUGCAACUGUUUAUUAAAAACACAGCACUGUGCAAACACGAAAGUGGACGUAUACGGUGUGACGCCUGCCCGGUGC